GCUGUCGGAGAUGGUAAAUAUUAUGUUGAAAAGCUGGAAAAGAAGCUGGAAAAGGCAAAAGUGGAAUUGAUGAAGGUUCUUGCGGACCGCAAGUAUCCUUUAUGGUCGAUUUUCUGGCGCCUUCCCUAAUGUAUUUGGAACUGUUUAGAAUAUUUUGGUUUCUUUAACAGUAGUUUACAGCAAGCUUAUUGAACAUUGUGUGGUGGAGCUACGGAAACUGAGAGUAAACCUUUAGACAUGUAAUGAUUUUUCCUCUCUCCUAGGAAAAAAAGAUAUAUAAAAUCAGGCAGUUAGCAAGACAGUCUACAAUUUUACAUCCCAAUAAUUAGAAGUGAUGCCACUUAUACUAACCCCUGCCUCUACUUUUCUUGCUAUGAGUAGUCCAUUUUUGCAUCUGAAUUCGUGCUGAACUACUUUUAACUGUAAGAAAAAGAAGAGUGUAAAUAGAUUUGUGAAUUGAAGCGAAUACUAAUAGAUACUACGAAUUAAGACAUCAAAUUAUGCCAACCUCUUACACUUAACUUACCAUGUCUUUACCUGAAUUAAGCUCCUGUGUCAAUUAAAACACAACACUAGUUUAAUUGAGGUGAAGAUAAUUUUCAAACAACAAAAAUUCAACUAUAAAGCAUUAGCAAUUUAGCAUCUAAAAAUGUACCGCCAGCAUUUGGUUGUUCGCUUGAGUGGGUUGAGAGUUCUGUAACAGCACUUUCUGAAGGUUUACUCUCAGUUUCCGUAGCUC